UUCCAGUUGGGAUGGUUGGAGUGGCCGGGGCUGCCCCUGCUGCAGGACACAGCAGCGCUGGCCGGUUGUGGAUCUCUUUUAUCAGCGAAUACAAGUGGAGUAUCAGUAAAAAGGGUAAGAUGGAGUCUCCUAGUCUACAGCCCUGUUUGCUUGUACCACUUUCAAUUGCUUUUUAAUUAUUCUCACGGAAUUUUUAUCCUUUUAUCUUAAACCAGGUCGUAGUGUCAAGUUUGGUAAAACUGCUGCCCAGUGGAGCACCCCGGUCUAGUGAAAGGACAAACUGAUGGAGUUCUACCCACGUGCUCAUCUCUUCCCACUGUGUCUCAACACCUCACACCUCCCACCCAAGUGAACUAAGCGACACCUGCCAGAGGAAAAGCUGCCCGUGCCCGGCUAAACUAAAACAGGACACGGACAGGACACACACACGACGGCGCCACGACCAGCUCUCCCUCCUCUGCACCUCCUGCGCUCCAGCUGCGUCUGCUCUGCUCCAGCUCCACACCCAGGUGCCUCUAAAAGGUGCUGCUGGAAGCCGUGGUGGUCAGGCGCCUCCCGAUGUAAAUCCUGCAGGCAGGGUCGGAGCACGCUCAGCCGCCGGGCUGUGUCUGGGUGCAGGGAACGCCCUCCCCGCCAGGCCUCUGCCUCCGGAAUUCCCGGCAGGAGCAGCAGGAGCAAAACUGCUCCGGAGCCCAGCCCAGCCUGAGUGAC
rnacentral:lncRNA from 1 species